rnacentral:rRNA from 1 species
AGGACGAACGCUGGCGGCGCGCCUAAAACAUGCAAGUCGAACGAGAAACCCGGGCUUGCCCGGGUGGACAGUGGCGAACGGGUGAGUAACACGUGAGGAACCUGCCCCGAAGACCGGGACAACACCGGGAAACCGGUGCUAAUACCGGAUACCUUCACCGGAUCGCAUGGUCUGGUGAAGAAAUGGAUUCCGCUUCGGGAUGGCCUCGCGGCCUAUCAGCUAGUUGGUGAGGUAACGGCUCACCAAGGCGACGACGGGUAGCUGGUCUGAGAGGACGACCAGUCACACUGGAACUGAGACACGGUCCAGACACCUACGGGUGGCAGCAGUCGAGAAUUUUUCUCAAUGGGGGAAACCCUGAAGGAGCGACGCCGCGUGGAGGAUGAAGGCUUUCGGGUUGUAAACUCCUGUCAUUUGGGAACAAGGUGCACCGGUUAACUGCCGGCGUAUUGAUAGUACCAGAAGAGGAAGAGACGGCUAACUCUGUGCCAGCAGCCGC